rnacentral:SRP_RNA from 1 species
GCUGGGCGUGGUGGCUCACGCCUGUAAUCCCAGCACUUUGGGAGGCCGAGGUGGGUGGAUCACCUGAGGUCAGGAGUUCAAGACCAGCCUGACCAACAUGGUGAAACCCCGUCUCUA